GAUGAACGCUAGCUACAGGCUUAACACAUGCAAGUCGAGGGGAAACGACAUCGAAAGCUUGCUUUUGAUGGGCGUCGACCGGCGCACGGGUGAGUAACGCGUAUCCAACCUGCCCAUCACUUGGGAAUAACCUUGCGAAAGUAAGACUAAUACCCAAUGACAUCCCACGAAGACAUCUGAAUGGGAUUAAAGAUUUAUCGGUGAUGGAUGGGGAUGCGUCUGAUUAGCUUGUUGGCGGGGUAACGGCCCACCAAGGCAACGAUCAGUAGGGGUUCUGAGAGGAAGGUCCCCCACAUUGGAACUGAGACACGGUCCAAACUCCUACGGGAGGCAGCAGUGAGGAAGAGUGGUCAAUGGGCGAGAGCCUGAACCAGCCAAGUAGCGUGCAGGAUGACGGCCCUAUGGGUUGUAAACUGCUUUUAUAAGGGAAUAAAGUGGGUCUCGGGAGACUUUUUGCAUGUACCUUAUGAAUAAGGACCGGCUAAUUCCGUG
rnacentral:rRNA from 1 species